UUAUGGCUGAACGCCUCUAAGUCAGAAUCCAUGCCAGAACGGGGUGAUUUCCGCCUGCACCAGUCGGAUACGAAUAGGCCUUUGGCCCAGAACCUUACCAGGCCGGCGUUGGCAGUCCCAUUGAAGUUGGGGCUGUUCGCCGGCGUAUUGCAAUUGUACAGUGCGCAGGAUUGAAUCCUUUGCAGACGACUUAGUUGUCUAGCCGGGUCGUGUAAGUAGUCGAGUAUCCUUG
rnacentral:rRNA from 16 species